UAAGACAGAGGCCUCGAGCGUUAGACGGAAUCACUGGGCUUAAAGCGUGUGUAGGCGGAAGGGUAAGUACCUUGUGAAAUCCCACGGCUCAACCGUGGAACUGCUGGGUAUACUGCUUUUCUUGAGCAAUCUAGGGGCGAGUGGAACAGAUGGUGGAGCGGUGAAAUGCGUAGAUAUCAUCUGGAACGCCAAUGGUGAAGACAACUCGCUGGGGAUUUGCUGACGCUGAGACACGAAAGCCAGGGGAGCGAACGGGAUUAGAUACCCCGGUAGUCCUGGCCCUAAACGAUGUCCACUAGAUUGUGGCGGCUCUGACGCCGUCACGGUCGAAGCAAAAGUGUUAAGUGGACCGCCUGGGAAGUACGGUCGCAAGGCUA
rnacentral:rRNA from 1 species